rnacentral:rRNA from 1 species
CUACGGGUGGCUGCAGUGAGGAAUAUCGCACAAUGGGGGGAACCCUGAUGCAGCAACGCCGCGUGGAGGAUAACGCAUUUCGGUGUGUAAACUCCUUUUAUAUGUCAAGAAAAUGACGGUAGCAUAUGAAUAAGCACCGGCUAACUCCGUGCCAGCAGCCGCGGUAAUACGGAGGGUGCAAGCGUUACUCGGAAUCACUGGGCGUAAAGGACGCGUAGGCGGGUUGGAAAGUCAGGUGUGAAAUCCUACAGCUUAACUGUAGAACUGCACUUGAAACUUCUAAUCUAGAGUAUGGAGGGGGAGAUGGAAUUAGUGGUGUAGGGGUAAAAUCCGUAGAUAUCACUAGGAAUACCUAAAGCGAAGGCGAUCUCCUGGAACAUUACUGACGCUAAGGCGUGAAAGCGUGGGGAGCAAACAGGAUUAGAUACCCUUGUAGUC